rnacentral:rRNA from 1 species
UCUUUCUUUGCUGGCGACCGGCGCACGGGUGAGUAACACGUAUCCAACCUGCCCUUUACUCGGGGAUAGCCUUUCGAAAGAAAGAUUAAUACCCGAUGGGAUAAUUAUUCCGCAUGGUUUGAUUAUUAAAGGAUUCCGGUAAAGGAUGGGGAUGCGUUCCAUUAGGUUGUUGGUGAGGUAACGGCUCACCAAGCCUUCGAUGGAUAGGGGUUCUGAGAGGAAGGUCUCCCACAUUGGAACUGAGACACGGUCCAA